UGUUGGAACUGGGAUUGCAUCAUCUGUAAAGAAUCAGAAGAGGAAAGCUCCCAUAAAUUCUGAUUAUGAGAAGAAUCAGGGUACCAAGACAAAGUUACUGAGUGGUGAAGAUGCGCUAAUGUGCCAUCAAUGCCAAAAGAAUGACAAGGGAGCUGUGGUGCGAUGCAUGGCUUGCCAAAGAAAACGGUAUUGUUAUCCGUGUAUGAAGAGAUGGUAUCCACAGUUAACUCCUGACGUAUUAAAUGCCCAGUUUGCCGGUUCAAUUGCAAUUGCAAAUCAUGCUUACGCAUGAGAGGAAUUUCUGAGAGCCAUUCAAGAGGAGGACAAAAAACAAAAUAUUUAUAUGUAUUACGUCUGUUGCUUCCAUGGUUCAAAGAACUACGCAAAGAACAACAAUUGGAAAAGGAACUUGAGGCUCAGAUAAAAGGCAUUGCAUUGACUGAACUACUGAAGUAAAGUUACAAGAAGCUCCUUGUGCAAAUGAUGAACGAGUAUAUUGCAAUUACUGCAGCUCAUCAAUUGCAGAUUUCCAUAGAAACUGUUCUAGUUGCGCCUAUGACCUAUGUUUGUCUUGCUGUCGAGGGCUUCGUGAAGGCAGUUUGCCUGGGCACAGUAGCCAAUGUGGAGUAAAUACUGAUAUCCCUGAAGAUCUUCUAAAUGCACAUUGCAAUGGAGAGCAACUGCUGAUGGUAGUAUUUCUUGUCCACCUGAAGUAUUGGGUGGUUGUGGUAGUUCUCUUUUGCAGCUCAAGCAUAUUCUUUCAGAAGAUUUUUGAGUUAGAAGAGAAGGCUAAUGGAAUUGUUGGACUCAAAAGCAGUGAACUUACAGAAUCACAUGAAAACUCUGGAGUUUGCCCCUGUUUCUGUGUUUCAGGAAAGAUUGAUUCUCACAGUGGCUCAUUGAGAAAAGCAGCUUCUAGAGAAGGCUGCGAAGAUAACCUUUUAUUCUGUCCAAGUGCUAGAUGUAUUCCAGGGGGAGAACUGGAACAUUUCCAGAAGCAUUGGGCUAAAGGUGAGCCAGUGAUUGUCCGCGAUGUGCUUGAUUUAUCUUCUGGAUUAAGCUGGGAACCAAUGGUCAUGUGGUGUGCAUUGCGAGAGAAGAAAGUGAGAAAGGUUAAACUGAAAAUUUUGAAGUAAAGGCGAUUGACUGUUUGGACUGGUGUGAGUGCACUGAAGAUGAAUAUCAAGGUGAGUUUGCUGCACCAGCAAAGGCGGUGAGUUUUUUAUUUGGUC